rnacentral:rRNA from 1 species
CCUACGGGGAGCAGCAGUGAGGAAUAUUGGUCAAUGGCCGGAGGGCUGAACCAGCCAUGCCGCGUGAAGGUCAGUGCCCUAUGGGCGUUAAACUUCUUUUGUGCGGGAGCAAUAAUGGUCACGUGUGGCCAGACGAGAGUACCGUACGAAUAAGCAUCGGCUAACUCCGUGCCAGCAGCCGCGGUAAUACGGGGGAUGCAAGCGUUAUCCGGAUUUAUUGGGUUUAAAGGGUGCGUAGGCUGUGAGGUAAGUCAGCGGUGAAAUGCCCCCGCUCAACGGGGUGAAGUGCCAUUGAUACUGCCUGGCUGGAAUGCGGAUGCCGUGGGAGGAAUGUGUGGUGUAGCGGUGAAAUGCAUAGAUAUCACACAGAACACCGAUUGCGAAGGCAUCUCACGAAUCCGCGAUUGACGCUGAUGCACGAAAGCGUGGGUAUCAAACAGGAUUAGAUACCCCAGUAGUC